UCUCAUUAUUCCCGUCCGGUUAUUAGCGUCUACAUUCCCGUUGUCUGUGCCUUUCCCUGUAUAAGCAUUAUGCUUCUCCACCACAUGAAGCUGGUCAGCCUGCCGCCUCUCCACUGCGUGAAGCUGGUCAGCCCAUAGCUGCCGCCUCGCCUAUCCCAGUGCCUCUGGAGCCCUACCUAGGGGAGGCCGUCACCAUGCCUCCAGAGCCUCGCCCAAGGGAAGCCAUUGCCACCGCACCUAAGUCUCAUGAGUCUCACCCACAAGGUCCGUACUUCAGGCUCCUGGCCCAGAGAAGGACAUUCUGCCCAAGUCCACAGCUCCCGGCCCGAGAGGGGCCACAUCACCCAGGCCCAGUCUCGCAGCAGCCAUUCUGUCCUGCAGUGAACUUUUGAGGUCACUCCAGGUGUCCCGGCUGCACCCACCUCGCCUCCAGGUUGCCACCAGGCCAGGGUGAGUAUACCCAGACGAAGUCCAGCUAGAGGACUUGGAAGAGGAGUCUCUGGAUCUCGCCCUAAGUCUGUCUGCAUGGGCCCCCACCUCAGCCUGAAGUCCACAUUGACCUGAUCUGGAGCCCCAGUAUGGUCAGACGUGUCUGCUGGGGCCCCAACGAGGGGUUGGCUGACUCUCCAUCUCUCAGAGUGGGAGACGGGGGUUCACUCUCCAUGACGGCUGCCCCGACUCUCGUUUUCCUGAUGUUGUCGGCCCGAGGAACUCUCCUGCUGAGGACCGAAGGAAAGAACCCAUGGAAUCCUCCUGCACUGGCCUGGUGGCCCGAUUGUUCCCUCCAGUGUUUCCUUCCCUGCCUCUAUUAUUCCCUGUACAAGUCUAACUGUUUUUGAUCCCUUGCAGUCCUGUUUGUUUUAUAGUCGCUGUUUAGUUUUGAUUUAAUAAAACCUCUGUCAUUCUCCCAGCCCUAGAUAGAAGCCUGUUAUUUUAAAAUUAACAGGGUGCCUAUUCACACCUGAUUGUCAUCACUUUGAUUGACAACCCUGACACUGAUUAGCAACAUCUGACUCUAAUCUCACCUUCAAAUAACCUGCAAGAUUCACAUAGUUUUGCCAGUCAUAGAUUUGUGACAAUUGAUCAUUAAUAAAUAGAGGACCAAGUAUGAUA